CGAUUCUUUAGAAGGCAGGCGGUUUGAUUGACAGGUGCGAGGAGUACCACCUUUGACCUUUGGUGUCAAGGGUUCCCCUUUGAGCAGCAAUGAACGAUGACCAACCAUCUGGGUACGAGAGCUAGGACUGGGAUUUGUGGGCCUGCUCUCUGUCCGUUACUGAAAUACCAGAACUCGUCGCUGCCUGCCACUUACAGAUGUCAGUGAGCAGAAGUGGAAUCGGGUCUUCAAAAAUGUUCUUUAUUGAGAUCAGAUGGCAGAUUACCACCUUAAAAAUAUUUCCCUUCUCAUCUCUUGUUAGAAGGUUAUUAGGGAGAAUCAGGGGAAGACAAAAGCAUUAGGUCUCCCUAGAACUUAGACUCACCCUUCUGUGGGAUGGUCAGCCCUGCUGGCAUUCUCAAUGUCUGCUUCUCGUUGUUAUCCCUUGCCCCUUUCCCUCAGUGAGUGUCUGGACUCAGGCAAUGCUGGAAAUGCUGCGUCUGUUAGUCUCUGCUGGUGUUGGCCUUGUGCUCCUCUAAGGGCAUCUGGGCUGGGAGGGAGGGGUUAACACAGGACAAACGGUCUUGGGAAGUGCAUGUAUGCUGAGCCACAGAAACAUGUCUGUGUUGUUUCCUCUGCACCGUGUGCAGCACAACAUCUUUAUGAUACAAUUUGAAAGCAUGCCUAUCUGCUCCUGCCAUCCCCCAUGUGUACAAUGAUCUAGUUUCUACAAAACUGAGGAAACAAGUACCCCUGUCCUCCAAAAGGCUUAAUCUAGAAACUUUUAGAUGCCCCAAGUACAAGGUAACAUUUUCCUGAAGUUUCUGGCCCAUUCUCCCACUCUUCAGGCCCAAAUCCUGCUUUGCUUGCUCCUUGUCAGAGUACAUAACUCCUCUCCUUGCCCCUACAGACUUGAAAGUUGGAGUGACCUCUUCCUAGCUCUCGCUUUCUCCACCCCAGGAGUUUCAUAAAUCACCUCAUAAAAACGUAUUUACUGGUUCCCCUGACAUAAUAGCAGAAUAAACUGCUCAAGAUAACCUUGAAGAGUCCCCCCAGAAAACUCAUGCACUGUGCUGCUGGUGGGGCAGUGGGGUUUCCAGCUUGAGUUUCCACCUCUGCCGUUUGACAGUGUCUUCUGGAAUUAAGACAACCGAACCCUCUCUUUUUUUUAUUGAGUUGGAUGGCGAAUCACAGAAUAAAUGCUUUCCCUUGCACUUUAAAAGGAUUUAAUAGGAAAAUAUUUUUCCUACAUCCUGUUUCAAGGGGAAAAUGUAAUUUUAGGGACAUUUUAUAGUUCACAACAGGAUACUGAAGGGCAUUUGGUUUUGCUUUAGUUUAUUAUGACUGUGUUUCUCUAGCAUGAAGUAGUCUUUGUGAUUAUUUAGAUAAGUCUAUAGAUAGUCACAGAAUUAAGGAAACCUAGGACUGGAAAGGCCUCAGAUAUUAGCCAGACCAACACUCUUCAUCUCUCAGAGAACACAAGUGACUUGUCCAAGGUCACAUGUUAAGCUUCUUUAUGGUCUGACUGUGGAGUGCUUUGAGACCAGCUGGGUGCUGGAAGUAGGGGUGGCUAGCAUAACCUUUACAUAGAGAGACUUGUUUUUUGUCUCUGAAAAAAUUUUAAUUUGGGAACUGAAAUACUUUGUGUGUGUGUGUGUGUGUGUGUGUGUGUGUGUGUGUGUGUGCGCGCGCACGUGUGUUUGCACAUGUACACACACACUGCACUGGGUGUAGAAAAUAUGAAAUAAAGCUCAAGUUUCUACAUUAGAACAGGUCAAGAACUAACAGAAAAUGAAUACAAAGAUCAUGGAGCAUCUCUUGGGCCCUUUUGCUACAAUAAAAUGUCUGAGAGAAUAUAAAGAUUUA